GAUGAACGCUGGCGGCGUGCCUAAUACAUGCAAGUCGAGCGAACGGACGAGAAGCUUGCUUCUCUGAUGUUAGCGGCGAACGGGUGAGUAACACGUGGAUAACCUACCUAUAAGACUGGGAUAACUUCGGGAAACCGGAGCUAAUACCGGAUAAUAUUUUGAACCGCAUGGUUCAAAAGUGAAAGACGGUCUUGCUGUCACUUAUAGAUGGAUCCGCGCUGCAUUAGCUAGUUGGUAAGGUAACGGCUUACCAAGGCAACGAUGCAUAGCCGACCUGAGAGGGUGAUCGGCCACACUGGAACUGAGACACGGUCCAGACUCCUACGGGAGGCAGCAGUAGGGAAUCUUCCGCAAUGGGCGAAAGCCUGACGGAGCAACGCCGCGUGAGUGAUGAAGGUCUUCGGAUCGUAAAACUCUGUUAUUAGGGAAGAACAUAUGUGUAAGUAACUGUGCACAUCUUGACGGUACCUAAUCAGAAAGCCACGGCUAACUACGUGCCAGCAGCCGCGGUAAUACGUAGGUGGCAAGCGUUAUCCGGAAUUAUUGGGCGUAAAGCGCGCGUAGGCGGUUUUUUAAGUCUGAUGUGAAAGCCCACGGCUCAACCGUGGAGGGUCAUUGGAAACUGGAAAACUUGAGUGCAGAAGAGGAAAGUGGAAUUCCAUGUGUAGCGGUGAAAUGCGCAGAGAUAUGGAGGAACACCAGUGGCGAAGGCGACUUUCUGGUCUGUAACUGACGCUGAUGUGCGAAAGCGUGGGGAUCAAACAGGAUUAGAUACCCUGGUAGUCCACGCCGUAAACGAUGAGUGCUAAGUGUUAGGGGGUUUCCGCCCCUUAGUGCUGCAGCUAACGCAUUAAGCACUCCGCCUGGGGAGUACGACCGCAAGGUUGAAACUCAAAGGAAUUGACGGGGACCCGCACAAGCGGUGGAGCAUGUGGUUUAAUUCGAAGCAACGCGAAGAACCUUACCAAAUCUUGACAUCCUUUGACAACUCUAGAGAUAGAGCUUUCCCCUUCGGGGGACAAAGUGACAGGUGGUGCAUGGUUGUCGUCAGCUCGUGUCGUGAGAUGUUGGGUUAAGUCCCGCAACGAGCGCAACCCUUAAGCUUAGUUGCCAUCAUUAAGUUGGGCACUCUAAGUUGACUGCCGGUGACAAACCGGAGGAAGGUGGGGAUGACGUCAAAUCAUCAUGCCCCUUAUGAUUUGGGCUACACACGUGCUACAAUGGACAAUACAAAGGGCAGCGAAACCGCGAGGUCAAGCAAAUCCCAUAAAGUUGUUCUCAGUUCGGAUUGUAGUCUGCAACUCGACUACAUGAAGCUGGAAUCGCUAGUAAUCGUAGAUCAGCAUGCUACGGUGAAUACGUUCCCGGGUCU
rnacentral:rRNA from 1 species